UACGUAGGUGGCAAGCGUUGUCCGGAAUUACUGGGCGUAAAGGGCGUGUAGGCGGCCUUUUAAGUCAGACGUGAAAUCCAUGGGCUUAACCCAUGAAUUGCGUUUGAAACUGGAGGGCUUGAGGAUCGGAGAGGGCAGUGGAAUUCCCAGUGUAGCGGUGAAAUGCGUAGAUAUUGGGAGGAACACCAGUGGCGAAGGCGACUGCCUGGACGACACCUGACGCUGAGACACGAAAGCGUGGGUAGCAAACAGGA
rnacentral:rRNA from 1 species